rnacentral:rRNA from 1 species
AGCGAACGCUGGCGGCAGGCUUAACACAUGCAAGUCGAGCGGGCGUAGCAAUACGUCAGCGGCAGACGGGUGAGUAACGCGUGGGAACAUACCUUUUGGUUCGGAACAACACAGGGAAACUUGUGCUAAUACCGGAUAAGCCCUUACGGGGAAAGAUUUAUCGCCGAAAGAUUGGCCCGCGUCUGAUUAGCUAGUUGGUAGGGUAAUGGCCUACCAAGGCGACGAUCAGUAGCUGGUCUGAGAGGAUGAUCAGCCACAUUGGGACUGAGACACGGCCCAAACUCCUACGGGAGGCAGCAGUGGGGAAUAUUGGACAAUGGGCGCAAGCCUGAUCCAGCCAUGCCGCGUGAGUGAUGAAGGCCCUAGGGUUGUAAAGCUCUUUUGUCAGGGAAGAUGAUGACGGUACCUGAAGAAUAAGCACCGGCUAACUUCGUGCCAGCAGCCGCGGUAAU